GAUGAACGCUAGCUACAGGCUUAACACAUGCAAGUCGAGGGGCAGCAUGAUUGAAGCUUGCUUCAAUCGAUGGCGACCGGCGCACGGGUGAGUAACACGUAUCCAACCUGCCGAUAACUCGGGGAUAGCCUUUCGAAAGAAAGAUUAAUACCCGAUAGUAUAGUAUUUCCGCAUGGUUUCACUAUUAAAGAACUUCGGUUAUCGAUGGGGAUGCGUUCCAUUAGAUAGUUGGCGGGGUAACGGCCCACCAAGUCAACGAUGGAUAGGGGUUCUGAGAGGAAGGUCCCCCACAUUGGAACUGAGACACGGUCCAAACGCCUACGGGAGGCAGCAGUGAGGAAGAUUGGUCAAUGGACGAGAGUCUGAACCAGCCAAGUAGCGUGAAGGAGGACUGCCCUAUGGGUUGUAAACUUCUUUUAGACGGGAAUAAAGUGGAGUAUGCAUACUCCUUUGUAUGUACCGUAUGAAUAAGGAUCGGCUAACUCCGUG
rnacentral:rRNA from 1 species